rnacentral:rRNA from 1 species
UAUAGCUUGCUACAGAAAUAAUUAGUGGCAGACGGGUGAGUAAUGCAUAGGAAUCUGCCCAGUAGUAUGGGAUAGCCACUAGAAAUGGUGGGUAAUACUGUAUACGCCCUGCGGGGGAAAGAUUUAUCGCUACUGGAUGAGCCUAUGUUAGAUUAGCUAGUUGGUAGGGUAAAGGCCUACCAAGGCAGUGAUCUAUAGCUGGUCUGAGAGGAUGAUCAGCCACACUGGAACUGAGAUACGGUCCAGACUCCUACGGGAGGCAGCAGUGGGGAAUAUUGGACAAUGGGCGCAAGCCUGAUCCAGCUAUGCCGCGUGAGUGAGGAAGGCCUUAGGGUUGUAAAACUCUUUCAGCGGGGAAGAUAAUGACGGUACCCGCAGAAGAAGUCCCGGCAAACUCCGUGCCAGCAGCCGCGGUAAUACGGAGGGGGCAAGCGUUGUUCGGAAUUAUUGGGCG